GUACCUUUCUCGGCCUCUUGGCUAAGAUCAAGUGUAGUAUCUGUUCUUAUCAGUUUAAUAUCUGAUACGUGUAUCUACGGAUCCAUGAGAUAUUAAUUUAUUUAUUUUGUGGGGGAGAAACCGUCUAUGUAGCUCGCUGCAUGGACGGGUCUCGUGCGUCGUCCAAGUGUUGCACUUCUGCUUGGAACAGGCGCGCCCCUA